rnacentral:tRNA from 1 species
GGAGAGUUGUCCGAGUGGCUUAAGGAGCUGGUCUCGAAAACCAGUGUACCCAUCAGGUACCCAGGGUUCAAAUCCCUGACUCUCCGCCA